rnacentral:rRNA from 1 species
AUUGAACGCUGGCGGCAUGCUUUACACAUGCAAGUCGAACGGUAACAGGCCGCAAGGUGCUGACGAGUGGCGAACGGGUGAGUAAUGCAUCGGAACGUGCCCAGUCGUGGGGGAUAACUACUCGAAAGAGUAACUAAUACCGCAUACGAUCUAUGGAUGAAAGCGGGGGACCGUAAGGCCUCGCGCGAUUGGAGCGGCCGAUGUCAGAUUAGGUAGUUGGUGGGGUAAAGGCUCACCAAGCCAACGAUCUGUAGCUGGUCUGAGAGGACGACCAGCCACACUGGGACUGAGACACGGCCCAGACUCCUACGGGAGGCAGCAGUGGGGAAUUUUGGACAAUGGGCGCAAGCCUGAUCCAGCAAUGCCGCGUGCAGGAAGAAGGCCUUCGGGUUGUAAACUGCUUUUGUACGGAACGAAACGGCUCUGGUUAAUACCCGGGGCUAAUGACGGUACCGUAAGAAUAAGCACCGGCUAACUACGUG